CCAAAGGCUCUUUUAAGAGCCACCCAUUAUAUCGACUAAAGAGCUUU
rfam:Danio rerio chromosome 25, GRCz11 reference primary assembly.